rnacentral:rRNA from 1 species
UGUGAACUGCAGGACACAUGAACAUCGACAUUUCGAACGCACAUUGCGGUCCUCGGAUACUGUUCCCGGACCACGUCUGGCUGAGGGUCGCGUCUUACAAUAAAAGACUGCUCGGUCCUCGAACGCGUAUAAUAUACGCGCAAGGGGACGCGGAGCGAAUGUGGGAGCUCGCGGACGCCGGCGACGGCGCCCGCGUCUCCUCAAAUAGCAAGCCCUCGUCGCGAGCGCGACGUGCCUCCCUAGGCCCGUGCGCGACCGUCGUGUCUUACGAGUUUCGGACGCAGACGACGGUUGCGCUAAGGACCGCCGCGGAGUACGCACGUCGUUUCGCACACUCGCAUGCGACGAGGGGAAAACAGAAACACAGGCGACCUCAGAGCAGGCGAGAUUACCCCCUAAUUUUAAGCAUUA